GGGCUAGGAGCUUUCACAUCCCAAACCCAUGUGACAUAUCUCUUUGUUGCCUCGGCGCAAGCUACCCGGGACCUCGCGCCCCGGGCGGCCCGCCGGCGGACAAACCAAACUCUGUUAUCUUCGUUGAUUAUCUGAGUGUCUUAUUUAAUAAGUCAAAACUUUCAACAACGGAUCUCUUGGUUCUGGCAUCGAUGAAGAACGCAGCGAAAUGCGAUAAGUAAUGUGAAUUGCAGAAUUCAGUGAAUCAUCGAAUCUUUGAACGCACAUUGCGCCCAUUAGUAUUCUAGUGGGCAUGCCUGUUCGAGCGUCAUUUCAACCCCUAAGCACAGCUUAUUGUUGGGCGUCUACGUCUGUAGUGCCUCAAAGACAUUGGCGGAGCGGCAGCAGUCCUCUGAGCGUAGUAAUUCUUUAUCUCGCUUCUGUUAGGCGCUGCCCCCCCGGCCGUAAAACCCCCAAUUUUUUCUGGUUGACCUCGGAUCAGGUAGGAAUACCCGCUGAACUUAAGCAUAUCAAUAGGCCGGAGGAA
rnacentral:rRNA from 1 species